rnacentral:rRNA from 1 species
UGGGGAAUAUUGGGCAAUGGGGGAAACCCUGACCCAGCAACGCCGCGUGAACGAUGACGGCCUUCGGUUGUAAAGUUACUGUUAUACGGGACGAAUGGCGUAGCGGUCAAUACCCGUUACGAGUGGCGGUACCGUAAGAGAAAGCCACGGUUAACUACGUGCCAGCAGCCGCGGUAAUACGUAGGUGGCAAGCGUUGUCCGGAAUUAUUGGGCGUAAAGGGCGCGCAGGCGGCGUCGUAAGUCGGUCUUAAAGUGCGGGGCUUAACCCCGUGAGGGGACCGAAACUGCGAUGCUAGAGUAUCGGAGAGGAAAGCGGAAUUCCUAGUGUAGCGGUGAAAUGCGUAGAUAUUAGGAGGAACACCAGUGGCGAAAGCGGCUUUCUGGACGACAACUG